rnacentral:lncRNA from 1 species
UUUCAAGCGUAUCAUGCUACACUUUCCAAUAAUUUACAUAAGAAAUCUCCUUUAACAGUCAGAAUUACAACAAAUUCUACAACAAUUUUCAGAACGAACAUACAUAUCACCCUUCAACCUUUAACCAUUAAGGAAAAUAAAUGGCAACAAAUGUUCAAUAGUGCCAAACUGUAAGUCACAUCUCAGUGAUCAGCACAAAAAGUGUGGUAGCUGACCUUGACCUUAAAAUCCUGCUUAACGGAUUUACAUCCUACACAAAUCUUGUUUAAGAUUUGAACAACUUCCACAAGAUAAUAAGGAUGAACUACUGAGCAUGGAAAUUGGAUACGCCCAUAAUGACCUAGAAAUUAAAACGAUUGAUUAAAACCAAUUCCAAAAUUGAAGACAACCACAUCAAGAACAAUGUUAAAUGUUUAUCCACACCUUCACAGUUCUUUAACUUGUUUUCGGCACCACAAGUAUGUUAAGUUUUUAGUAAGCUGAUAUAUACAGGAAUUGGAUUUUAGAGGGAGCUGAAAAGACAGAGAGAGUGAGAGGCAAGGUUUGUUCACAACUGCAACUCUACUCCACUGCAGAGAGCAACAUUUCAUUCAUAUUCAUUCCUUUCUUUUACAUCAGACAUCAUAACCGUUCAAUUACAUGAGCCAAUGUGAUUUUGACACAUGGCAAAACAAAGCAUAUGAGCCAUUCAAAAAGAGUCCUGAUCUAAGACCAUACACUUGGCAUAUGAGCACAAGUUAUCACAUCAUAAAACAGCUACUCAAUAGAACAAAGAUAAAAUAGAUAAGUAAAUCAUUUACUAACUUGAAAUUAGUAAGCACUCAAGUUGUUGAAUCUGUCUUUGGGAAGAGCCUUGGUAAAGAUGUCUGCAAUUUGUUCUUCACUCUUGCAGUAAAUCAGAUCAAUGGUACCUUCUUGAAUUGCAUCUCGAAUAAAGUGAAACUUCCUGCCAAUAUGCUUGGUUCUUUGAUGAAACACAGAAUUCUUAGACAUAGCUAUAACUGAAGUGUUGUCACAGAAUAGCGAUGUUGCUGCAGCUUGCUCUUCUCCAAAGUCCUUGAGCACAAACCUAAGCCAAAUGGCCUGAGAUGUUGCUUCAGCUGCACUAACAUACUCUGCUUCUGCAGUUGAAAGAGCUACACUGUGCUGUUUGACUGAAGCCCAUGAGAAUGCCCCACUUCCAAAUGAAAAAGCAUACCCUGAGGUGCUUUUCAUAUCCUCCUCAGAUCCACUCCAGUCACUUUCGCAAUAUCCAAUCAGCAAGGCAGAUUUUCCAUUCAAAUAUUCAAUUCCAAAGCCAAUUGUUCCUUGAAUGUACCUUAGGACUCGUUUAGCAGCUCCAUAAUGUUUCUUGGUAGGCUUGUGCAUAAAUCGUGCAAGUACACUAGUAGAGAACAUAAUAUCUGGUCUAGUUGCUGUUAAAUACAGAAGACUUCCAACUAUUUUCCUAUACUCACACUCAUCUGCAGGUUCACUUCCAUCUUCUCUUCUCAGUUUAUCAGUUGCAACCAAUGGAGUGCUCACUGGUUUGCAAUCUUUGAGCCCAAAUUUAUCCAAAAGAGUUAGAGCAUAUUUUUUCUGAUGUAUAAAUAUACUCCCUUUCAAUUUGAGUUACCCCCAUUCCAAGAAAGUGAUGAAGUAAACCCAAAUCUGACAUCUCAUAUUUGCACAUCAUUUCAGCUUUGAAUUCUUCCAUCAUUUCUGCAUUGCUCCCUGUGUACACAAUGUCAUCAACAUAGAUUGACACGAUCAAGGUACCAACACCUUCCAUGCUUCUCACAUAUAAAGUUGCUUCACUUGAGCUUUUGUGAAAUCCACAGUGAAUUAAAUAUGUGUCAAUUUCACUGUACCAGGCCCUUGGUGCUUGUUUUAGACCAUAGAGAGCCUUUCUCAGCCUAUACACCUUGUCUUCAGCCCCUUUAAUCACAAAACCAUCAGGUUGAUCAACAUAUACCUCAUCCUCAAGAACACCAUUCAGGAAGGCUGAUUUAACAUCUAAUUGCCACAGUUUCCAACCUUUCUGUGCAGCUAGUGCAAUGAGUGUUCUAAUAGUAUAUAACCUUGCCACUGGUGCAAAGGUUUCAUUAAAAUCAAUCUCUGGUUUCUGUGUGUAACCUUUGGCUACAAGUCUUGCCUUGUGUUUUUGAAUGGAGCCAUCAAGAUUCAGCUUUGUUUUGUAUACCCACUUCACACCCACAAUAGGUUUACUACUAGGUCUGUCAACUAAUUCCCACGUGGAAUUCUUUUCAAUCAUCAAUAUUUCUUCUGUUAUAGCCUUUUUCCAAGCAUCAUCUUUGACUGCCUCACUGAAAUCUUCAGGUUCAAUGAUGCUCAUGUUGCAUUGAGCAUAUACUUCACUCAAACUCUUCCAUUUCUGUAGAGUAUGAUCAUAACUUCCAGAGAUUGGAACUGGAGAACCAAGUGAACCAGGUUCUUGAGAUGCUUGCAGAUCUCCAGUUGAUUGUGAUCUCAGAGGAGACUGCAUUGACUGAGGUGAAUCACUUGAAUCUGGAUCAAAUUCAGAUAUCCUUGAGCUUCUUUCAUCAUUCCAAGGACUAGGAACUUGAACUGAUUCAUUAGUUUCCCAGUCCCAUAUUACUUUCUCAUCAAAGAUUACACUUCUUGAUAGUUCAACCUUUUGAGUUCUCAAGUUGAAGAUUCUAUAUCUUUUUUCACAAUUUCCAUAUCCAACGAAUACUCCCUUCUCACUAGUUUCCUCCAGUUUGUGUCUUUUCUAUGAAGGAAUGUGAAUAUAACACAUGGAACCAAAUAUCUUCAAAUGUUUGACACCUGGCUUCCUCCCACUAAAUGCCUCAAAUGGAGUUGUGUUGUUCAGAGCACUUGUUGGACAUCGGUUUUGCAGAUACACAGCUGUGUUGACAGCUUCAGCCCAAAACUUCAAGGGAAUCUUCUUUUCAAUCAUCAUAGUUCUUGCCAUUUCAAUUAUUGUCCUAUUCUUUCUCUCUGCAACACCAUUUUGUUGUGGAGAGUAGGCAACAGUCAAUUGCCUUUCUAAUCCCAUAUCUUCACAGAACCCUAAAAACUCUAGAGAUGUAUAUUCUCCACCCCUAUCACUUCUGAGUUUCUUGAUUUGAUAGCCACUAUGUAGCUCAACCAUGGAUUUAAACCUUUUGAAAAUGUUGAAGACUUGAGACUUGUGCUGCAAGAAAAAUACCCAACACAUCCUAGUGUGGUCAUCAAUAAAUGUGAGAAAGAAUUUGUUGCCUCCUAGAGUAGUUAUCUGCAUUGGGCCACAUAUAUCAGAAUGAAUAAGUUCUAAAGGUUGUGAUGCCCUCCAAACUUUUCCCUUGUCAAAUGAUUCCUUGUGACCCUUCCCUGUAGCACAUCUAGAGCAAACAUGCUCAGAGACUUGUAGUCUAGGUAAGCCCUGCACCAUUUCCUUCUCUUGCAGAAGCAUCAAACUAAUGUAGUUUAGAUGUCCAUAUCUUCUGUGCCACAACUAAGAUGACUCUUCAACAGUUGCUCUAUUAGCCAUGUGAGGAUUAACAUAUUCCAAACUUAAUGGAAAGCAUCUGUUUCCUUUCAUUGGAACACUUGCAAUCAGAUCUUCCAUCUGUCUAUCUCCAUAAAUAUCAACCAUGUAAUCACCAAACACAAGCCAAUGUCCAUGUUCUACCAUCUGCCCUACACUCAAUAAGUUUUCAUCCAAUCCAGGUACAAUCAUAACUUCUUUAAUAUACCUAGUCACACCUUUCAUCUCAAUCACCAAUGUGCCUUUGCCUAUUGACUGCACUAAAUUUCCAGUGCCCAUUUUAACUCUACACUUCACAUUCUUAUCAACAUCAAUAAGCAAGGAUUCAUGGGAGGUCAUAUGAUUGCUAUAUGCACUAUCUACAUACCAUAUAUUCAUACUUCUUCCAAUAGUAGCAGAAUGGCAGGCAUAAAACAUGGUUGCAGAUUCUGUUACCUGAUUCGCAUAGUUUACAAGUUUUCCAGACUUGUUUGGUUGAUCACAAUCCUUGAUGAAAUGACCGAAACGAUUGCAUCCAUGACAUUUCGGCUUCCCUUUAAACCAGCACUCACCAUAGUGCAGUUUAUCACAAUGCUUGCAUUUUCCCUUAGACUGAUCGGAUUUUCCUCCUUGAUCAUAUUUGCCACCUCGAUUAGCAAGAUUCUGAGGUUUAGGAUCCCAUUUCUUUCCUUUUGAUUUCCAAUCCUUCUUUGGUUUAGAAUUACCAAACGAGAGAUUUGGUUGGGUUCUUUUCGAAUUCAGAUUCAGAGUACUGAAAGCUCUUUCAAUGGUACUCUCAGCAUGCCUAUCAAGGUGUUAUGCAAACCCUCUUAAUGCUGCAAUCACCUCUUGUACCUCAAUAGUUUCAAUAUCUUUAGUUUGUUCAAUUACAUAACAAACAGGAUCAAACUCCUUAGUUAAGCUUAUGAGCAAUUUCUGAACUAAUCGCUCUCUAGGUAAAUCUUCCCCAUAACCCUUCAUCUGAUUUACCAACUCGAGAAGACGAGUGAGAUACAUAGACAGAGUUUCAUCAUCCCUCAUCCUUGUGUACUCGAAAUCACGGCGUAGACCCUGCAACUUGAUGGAUCUCACUUGCUUAUCACCAUGAAAUUCCUGAUGUAGGAUAUCCCAAGCACCCUUUGAGGUCUCUUCGUUUGAGAUUCUGGGAAAGAUGUCAUCCGAGACAGCUCCUUGGAUUAUACCCAAUGCCUUAGCAUCCUUCAUUAGCUUGUCGCUCAGAGAAACUCUCUCCGACUCCGAUGAGCCUUCAUCUCCAAUCUUCUUAUCCUUCGAUUAUGAAAUUUCAAACCCCUUUUCAACUAAAUCCCAGAUUCCAUGUGAUUUGAAAAUAGUUCUCAUUCGGAUCUUCCAAAAUUCAUAGUUGUCACCAUUGAAUAUUGGAGCCCGAAGAUCACUACCACCAGAUCCAGCCAUUUGAGACUUGAAUCGACAAACUGAGUCGGAAAUUUCACGUUGGAUUUCCGAGCACAGCACUCACAGAUCUUACGCCCCGAUUCCAGAUAGAACCUGAGCUCUAGAUACCAUGUUAAGUUUUUAGUAAGCUGAUAUAUAUAGGAAUUGGAUUUUAGAGGGAGCUGAAAAGACAGAGAGAGUGAGAGGCAAGGUUUGUUCACAACUACAACUCUACUCAACUGCAAAGAGCAACAUUUCAUUCAUAUUCAUUCCUUUCUUUUACAUCAGACAUCAUAACCGUUCAAUUACAUGAGCCAAUGUGAUUUUGACACAUGGCAGAACAAAGCAUAUGAGCCAUUGAAAAAGAGUCCUGAUCUAAGACCAUACACUUGGCAUAUGAGCACAAGUUAUCACAUCAUAAAACAGCUACUCAAUAGAACAAAGAUAAAAUAGAUAAGUAAAUAAUUUACCAACUUGAAAUUAGUAAGCAAUUUACUUUUCAACAAAGUAGAGCACAGGCCGGAUGGAUUUGGAAGUACGAACCUAGGAUCAGUGACCUCACUGGCUGUAUUGAUUGGUGUUUCUUCAGAUAUC